rnacentral:lncRNA from 1 species
UUUGUUUCAAGGUUUGUAAUGUUAUUCCUGGGAAUAUGAGAUCUGGAAUGUAACAUUGCUAUGUUUGUUUCAAGUUUUGAAAGUUUGUUCCCAGGAAUUUUUUAAUUCCAGGAAUGUUAAUUACACAUAACUUCUACACUUGUUAUUCCCAUGCUAAUAGGGUGGGAAUAUAACAUUCCCAUGGGAAUAAAACUCAACUUCCU